rnacentral:rRNA from 1 species
GAUGAACGCUGGCGGCGUGCCUAAUACAUGCAAGUCGAGCGAACGGACGAGAAGCUUGCUUCUCUGAUGUUAGCGGCGGACGGGUGAGUAACACGUGGAUAACCUACCUAUAAGACUGGGAUAACUUCGGGAAACCGGAGCUAAUACCGGAUAAUAUUUUGAACCGCAUGGUUCAAAAGUGAAAGACGGUCUUGCUGUCACUUAUAGAUGGAUCCGCGCUGCAUUAGCUAGUUGGUAAGGUAACGGCUUACCAAGGCAACGAUGCAUAGCCGACCUGAGAGGGUGAUCGGCCACACUGGAAGUGAGCCACGGUCAAGAGUACUACGGGAGGCAGCAGUAGGGAAUCGGCCGCAAUGGGCGAGAACAUGACGGAGCAACGCAGCGUGAGUGAUGAAGGUCUUCGGAUCGUAAAACUCUGUUAUUAGGGGAGAACAUAUGUGUAAGUAAAUGUAGACAUAUUGACGGUACCUACACAGAAAGCGACGGCUAACUACGUG